ensembl:antisense
GGGAAGAGAGACUCAUGUUUGAGAAAGCUUCUGCAUCAGUUCAGGCCUCCAGGCUCCUGCCUUGAGUUCCUGCCAUUACUUGGAUGAUGGGCUACACGCUGUAAAAUAAAAGAAACCCUUUCCUUCCCUAGUUGCUCUGUGAUCGUGGUGUUUUAUCAAGCAAGAGAAACCUAACUAGAUCAUGUCUCCGCUUCAUUUGUCCAAACCUGCAUCAAGCCAAGGCCUUGGAGGGAACAAAUGACGGUUCUGAGGAGUUUCCUGGAAGGCUUAAUCAUAGGAGGCAAAGGUGGGGAAAAGCCACAGUGGCAGUGAGGCCUCCGAGGCUCACAACAGUGCGGAGCCUAUAACACUCCAGGCCUGAAGGGGCAGAGGGAGGGGGAGCUUUGUGGAGUAAGAGAUCACCUAGAAAGAAGGUUGUAGGUGGAGCCAGGGACUUUGGAGAGAAGCUGGGUGAGCCACAGGGCUUAAGGAGCAUCAACACCCCCCAUUCCCCACUGUCGUCCUUCUCGGAGCACCACCAUGUAACCAGGAGCACCCUGGCACCUCUCAAGACUCUGGCGAGCAGCUGUGGAGUGUGCACGUGGCUGAGAGAACAUGAGGAGUGGACCUCUACCUCCACCCUAACCCUGCCAAGCCUCCAGAAGGCAUGGCACCCGCUGUGGAAAAAGACUGCCUGAGCACAUUGCCCAACCCGGUUCCCACUGAGAUCAGGAUGUAGCUCACAGCCCCCACUCCAGCAUCAUGUCUGCCUGCUGCCAUGCUCCCCGACGUGAUAAUCAUGGACUGUCAACAAGCCCUCAAUUAAAUACUUUCACUUCUAAGA